rnacentral:misc_RNA from 1 species
GAGAGUUAACACAACUCCCAAACCCCUGUGAACAUACUUUAUGUUGCCUCGGCAGGCUGUGCCAACCCAGAAUGGGCCCUAUUCUUAGGGCACGGCUGGUGCUGGUGCAGGUUCCCCUGCCGGUGGCCUAUUCAAACUCUGUUUAAUAUGGACUUCUGAACAAUAUAACUAAAUAAGUUA